rnacentral:rRNA from 1 species
GACGAACGCUGGCGGCGUGCCUAAUACAUGCAAGUUGAGCGAUGAAGAUUGGUGCUUGCGCCAAUUUGAAGAGCAGCGAACGGGUGAGUAACGCGUGGGGAAUCUGCCUUUGAGCGGGGGACAACAUUUGGAAACGAAUGCUAAUACCGCAUAACAACUUUAAACAUAAGUUUUAAGUUUGAAAGAUGCAAUUGCAUCACUCAAAGAUGAUCCCGCGUUGUAUUAGCUAGUUGGUGAGGUAAAGGCUCACCAAGGCGAGGAUACAUAGCCGACCUGAGAGGGUGGUCGGCCAGAUUGGGACUGAGACACAGCCCAAAGUCCUACGGGAGGCAGCAGUAGGGAAACUUCGGCAAUGGACGAGAGUCUGACCGAGCAAGGCCGCGUGAGUGAAGAAGGUCUUCGGAUCGUAAAACUCUGUUGGUAGGGAAGAACGUUGGUGAGAGUGUAAAGCUCAUCAAGUGACGGUAACUACUCAGAAAGGGACGGCUAACUACGUG